GGUAAUUCUUUUAAGUAUUUAAGGAGAGACAGUAUCAGUCUUAAAUGAGUUCUUCCAGGAUACUGAGAAAAAGGAGGACUUCUGUUACUGAGGCGAGCAUGACCUUGACACCAAAACUUUACAAUCCUUCCAACAAUAAAAUAGAAAUACAGAACAGUGUCAUGUGAACAUAGAUACAAAAUCUUACCUAAAAUAGUCACAAAUCAAAUUCAGCACUAUGUGAAAGAAUAAUAUAUUACAGCAAAAUUGGGUUUAUUCUAAGAAAGCAAGAGCAGUUAGCAUUUUGAAAUUGGUGCUAUUUGCCAAUUUAUAGAAAUAAAAAUCUAUGAUCAUUUCUCCAAAAGCAAAAGAAGCACUUGAUGAAUUUCAAUGCCUGUUUAUGAUAAAAGCUCUUAGCAAACUAGGAAAGAGGAAUCUUCCUUAUUGAUGAAAAAAUUAUCCUUAAAAUCUUUAAUCUUUAAUGGUGAGUUAUUGAAAGUUUCCUCCCAGAUAGGAAACAUGACAGUGAUAUUCAACAUUCUCCUAGUAAUUCCAACCACUUCUAUAAAGCCAGAAAAAGAAAAGGCAGGUUAUAGAGGGAAGGACUUUAAAUAUUAUUUGUAUAUGACAUAAUUGUGGACAUAGAAUAUUUCAAAAAGAUCAAAUUAUUGAAAUUAGCUGAUUUAGCAAGGUCACUAAAUACAAGUUCGAUAUUUUAAAAAGAAUAACUUUUUUAUGUACAACCAACAUGAAGAAAAUGAAGCUUAAAAACUAUCAUUUGUAAUAUUCUUGAAAAUAUUGGCUAUUUAAAAGUUAGAAGAACAUAAAUAGGAAGGGUAUCAUACUCAUGAUCAGAAGACAAUAUUGAAAGGUGUCAGAGAAUCUGUAUUAACAGUGAAAAUCUUGGCCAGGUGUAUUUGUGCAAAUUAAGCUGUUCUGUAAUUUAUAUGGAAAUGUAAAGGCAAAAGAUAGUUAAGACAACGUUGACGAAUGAGGCUCUGGUGUUAAAUACCAGACAGUUGUAAUCAAUUAAAAAGCUGAUUAAAACAAUGUGAUAUUGGUCAAAGGAUAUAUAUACAAAGGAAUAGGUCAAAAUCAAAAGCUAGCAGCAAACUGAUUUUUUAAAAAGAUGACACUGCUGCUCAAUGGAGAGGAUGGUCUUUUUACUAAAUGGUACAGGAUUAAUUGGAUGGAACAAAAAAUCUUGACCCAUCUCAUACUGCAUACGGAAGUUAUAGAUUGUAGAUCUAAAUGUGAAAAGUGAAACUUCUUUUAGUCUGAAAAAUGUGGGAGGUAUAGGAGAAUAUCAUCAUGACCUUAGGAUACACAUACUUUGGACAUAAAAACACUAAAGGAAAAAAAUGGUAAAUAAUUCCGUGUUAUAAUUUUAAGAACUUUUCAUCAGAAGAUAUUAAAAAUGAAGAGGCAACCAGUGGAGUGGACGGUUUUUGUAAUAUAUAGAUAUAAUGAAGAUCUCAUAUGCACAAUAUAUAAAUGACUAUGAAUUUAAAAAAAAACUCAACAGAAGAAAAGGCAGAUGACUUUGGCAAUGCCUAAGAAUAUUAACAUAGCCAAUAAAAGCUAUUUUCAAAAGGAAUGUGAAGUGGAACAACUUUGGAAAACAUUUUUUGACAAUAUUCUCCUAAAGCUGACUUUGGACAGCAAAUUUACUUCCUUGGUAUGUACCCAACAGUAAUGUAUAUAUUUGUUUACCAAAAGACAUGGACUAGAAUGUCUAUAGAAGAACUAUUCACUUUUUCUUUCUCUUCUCCUGACCAUCUUCCCAUUCCCUCUAUACACUUACCACUUACCUAUUUUGCUGAAUCUAAUUCUGUUAUACUUAACAUAAAUAUUUAUGUGCAUCUCUUAAGAACAAGACUAUCCUUUUAAUAACCAUGGUAAAUGAUCAAAUUCAGGAAAUUUAGCAUAAUACAAUAAAAUGAUUGAAUAUGAGAUCCAGUUUUUCAUUUUCCCAAUUGUUCUAUUAAUAUAUAUAUAUUUUUUUUUUCUUCUUUUCAGCUGUGCCUCUGGCAUACGGAAAUUCCCAGGCCGGGGUCAAAUCUGAGUUGCAGCUGUAGCAACUGCAAUUGGAUUCUGGAUUCUGGAGUUCCUAUCAUGGCUCAGCAGUAACGAACCACAUGAGGAUGUGGGUUUGAUCUCUGGCCUCGCUCAGUGGGUUGAUACAGCAUUGCCAUGAAUUGUGUAGGUCGCAGAUGCAGUUCAGAUCCUGCAUGGCUGUGGCAUAGGCCAGCAGCUCCAGCUUCAAUUUGACCCCUAGCCUGGAAACCUCCAUAUGCCGCAGGAGCAGCCCUAAAAAAAAAAAAAAAAGACACAGAAACACUGGAUCCUUAACCCACUGCACUGGCUGGGGAUCAAACCCACACCACCUCAGAGACAGGGCCAGAGCCUUAGCCCACUGCACCACAGCGGGAACCUCUCUAGUAAUGUCUUUUAUUAAGUAUUAUUUUUCCUAAUCCAUGAUCUAAUUCUAGAAUCUGCAUUGCAUUUAGUUCUUUUUGAUCUCCUUUAACCUGGAAGAGCUCAUUAGCCAUUCUUUCUGUUUUAUGACAGUGAUAUGUUUUUGAAGAGUUCAGGAUUAUAGAAUUUCCUUCAAUAUGAAUUUGUCUGUAUUUUUCCUGUAUUUGAAUUUAGGUUAUACAGUUUUGGCAAGAAAACCACCAAACUGAUAUUAUGUCUUCUGUGUCAUAUUAGGAUGCACAUAAUGUAUGUUUAUUCACUUAUCGGUGAUAUUAGCUUUGACUGAUUAAGAUAGUAUCUAUCAUGUUUCUCCACUGCUAUCAAUUUUUCCCCUUGUAAUUAAUAAGGAAUGUGUAGGGAAAUACUUUGAUAUCAUAGAUACUCUGUUCUUUACCAAAUUGUCACUAUGUUUUUGGUAUCUAUUAAGGUUUAUCACCUGAAUUACUAAAAACGUUGCAAAAUGGUGACUUUUUAAAUUCUUUUAUUCUUCACAUAUUUAUUACUUGGCAUUUACUAUAAGGAAGACUUUUGUUUCUCCAUCAUUUGAAAAUUUACAUUAUCAGUAUGGAAUGAUGGGUUCUUUUUUGAUUCAGAAUGUCAAUCCAUUUCUUUCCUAGAUUUAACGAGUGGGAACCCCAUCAGACUGACUUCGGUGCUUUUUCUAUUUCCUUGAGCGCUUGCUUGCUUUUAGUGCAACAAGAUGUUUCAACCCUACCUGGACUUUCUGUAACCCAGUCUUAGAAUCAGCCAUUUCUUCAGGUAGAAGAAAUAUUUCCUUUUAAGUAGAAUGGUAUUUUCAAAUUGGGAUAUUAGAAACACUUGUUGCUACUGGGGUGACAUUGUUUCUCUAAGGUUUUUCAAGAGACAGAGAGGAAAUAUAUACACCAUGAUUGCAUAUUGAUACCUCUAAUUUCAAUCUAACAUCGUAGAAUUCUUCCUUGUCUUCCCUCAUUCUAUGUCUGUUAUCUCUCUUCUCGCAGAGUGAGAGCAUCCAUAUAAUUGUUUAAUCAGACAAAUGCACACAUUAGUUUCAGGAUUACUACACCUUUAUCCACACAAACAACAAAACAGAGUAAAAUUUGAUAUUCUUUUGCAAUUUUUUAUGUCUUUAGACUAAAGUUCUUUAAUUGAGGUAUAGAAUUCAAAAGUCAGGUACUUUUUUUUCCUGCUGUGGGGUUGUUUUAAUCAUUUAAAAUAGAAUUAGGUGCAAUACUUUUGUUGUAUUCAAUUUUAGUUUUUUUCCUGUCUUCAAAGUUAAUUUUACUUUUUGUGUGUAAGAUAUUUAAAAUGUACCAAAAGUCAAAACUACAGAACUGUCUUCUGUCUCAUUCAACCUGUUUCCACCCACACCUACAGAAAGUCGAUUUAAUUAUUUACGGUUAUUCUCUCUUUUCAAAGUAUAGAUUAUAUACAAAAAAAUAUAUACAUACAUAAUCUAAUGUGUGUACAUAUGUUGCAUAAAAUCCAGGGUGUGUGUGUAUACACUCAAAUACACAGAAAAUAACCAUUUCAGUUCAAAAAGAUUUCCCCUACAUUUUUUCAAUUGAAGAAUAAUUGAUUUACAGUAUUAAUUUCAGGUGUACAACAUAAUGAUUCAGUAUUUCCAUAGGGUAUAAUAUUCCCUGUGCUGUACUAUAUGUCCUUGUAAGCUUAUUUAUUUUAUGCAUGGUAAUUAGUACCUCACAAUCCCCUACAUCUAUCUUGACCCUUCCCCCAGAACUCCCCAUAUCCAUUAGUUUUCUAUAUCUGAGUCUAUUUCUGUUUAGUUAUUUUUUUGUGUGUGUCUUUUUAGGGCCACAUCCACAGCAUAUGGAGGUUCCCAGGCUAGGGAUCAUUACUGGGGCUACAGCUGCCAGCCUACACCACAGCCCAGCAACGCUGGAUCUUUAACCCACUGAGCAAGGCCAGGGAUCAAACCCACAUCUUCAUGGAUACUACUCAGGUUCCAUUAACCACUAAACCACAAUAGGAACUCCUGUUUCUGUUUUGUUACAUACAUUCACUGGUUUUAUUUUUCAGAUUCCACAUAUUAGUGAUAGCAUAUAGUAUUUGUCUUUCCCUGUCUGCUUUAGUUCACUAAAUGUUAUGCCCUCCAGGUCUAUCCAUGUUUUUGCAAAUGGCAAAAUUUCAUUCAUUCCUAUGCCUGAGUAAUAGUACUCUGUGUGUGUGUGUAUCACAUCUUCUUUAUCCAUUUAUCUGUCGAUGGACACUUAGGUUACGUCCGUAUCUUGGCUACUGUACUUUGAACAUUGGGGUGCAUGUAUCUUUUCUAAUUAGUGUUUUUGUUUUCUUUAAAUAUAUACCAAGAGUGGAAUUCCUGGAUCACGGCAGUUCUCUGAGGAACCUGCAUAUGUUUUACACAAUGGCUGCACCAAUUUACAUUCCUACCAGUGAUGUAUAGGUGUUCCCUUUUCUCCACAUCCUCUCCAACAUUGUUUGCUUUUUGUUUUUUUGGGGUUUUUUUUGUUUUGUUUUUUUGCUAUUUUAGGGCCGAACUCAUGGCAUAUUGAGGUUCCCAGGCUAGAGGUUUAAUCAGAGCUAUAGCCGCUGUACUAUGCCACUGCUCACACCAGUGCUGCGGGUUCUAUCCCCCACCAAUCGAGGUGAGGGAUAGAACCCGCAUCCUCAUGGAUCCUAGUCGGGUUUUUUAACCACUGAGCCACAAAGGGAAGUCCCUCACCAGCACUUGUUAUUUGUGUUCUUUUUGAUGAUACCCAUUUUAAGAGGUGUGAGGUGAUAUCUCAUGGUUUUGAUUUGCAUUUCCCUGAUGAUUAGCAAGCCGAGCAUCUUCUCAUGUGCCUGUUGGCCAUAUGUAUGUCUU
rnacentral:lncRNA from 1 species